AGCGAACGUUAGCGGCGUGCUUAACACAUGCAAGUCGAGCGGUAAGGCCCUUUCGGGGGUACACGAGCGGCGAACGGGUGAGUAACACGUGGGUGACCUGCCCUCAGCUCUGGGAUAAGCCUGGGAAACCGGGUCUAAUACCGGAUAUGACUCCAUGACGCAUGUUGUGGGGUGAAAGCCUUGUGCGGCUGAGGAUGGGCCCGCGGCCUAUCAGCUUGUUGGUGGGGUGANGGCCUACCAAGGCGACGACGGGUAGCCGGCCUGAGAGGGCGACCGGCCACACUGGGACUGAGACACGGCCCAGACUCCUACGGGAGGCAGCAGUGGGGAAUCUUGCGCAAUGAGCGAAAGCCUGACGCAGCGACGCCGCGUGAGGGAUGACGGCCU
rnacentral:rRNA from 1 species